rnacentral:rRNA from 1 species
GACGAACGCUGGCGGCGUGCUUAACACAUGCAAGUCGAACGGAAAGGCCCUGCUCUUGCGGGGUGCUCGAGUGGCGAACGGGGGAGUAACACGUGAGUAACCUGCCCUUGACUUUGGGGUAACUUCAGGAAACUGGGGCUAAUACCGGAUAGGAGCUCCUGAUGCACGGGGGGGGUUGGAAAGAUUCGGCGGUUGGGGAUGGACUCGCGGCUUAUCAGCUUGAUGGUGGGGUAGGGGCUUACCAAGGCUUUGACGGGUAGCCGGCCUGAGAGGGUGACCGGGCUCCUUGCGCCUGCGGUACGGCCCAGUCUCCUACGGGCGGCAGCAGUGGGGAACCUUGCACAAUGGGCGGACGCCUGUUGCAGCGACGCCGCGUUCGUGAUGCCGUCCUUCGGGUUGUAAACCGCUUUCGCCUGUGCCGUAGCGUAAUUGACGGUACUGGGUAAAGAAGCCCCGGCUAACUACGUG